AUAGAUUUGAUUGUCACUGAAUUGUCACUGAAUUGUCACUGAAUCUCAACCGAAGUGAUUGACUCUUGUGAUGGCUUUUUGGCAUAUUUUGGUCUUUUCUUUGGUGUUUUGCACCGAUGACUAUCAUUACAGACAUUAGACGACGUUUUUCCGAAGAUAAAAAUAAGUCAAUAAAUAAUCACAAAUCAAUGGAAA